UUAAUGGCUGCAGUAUUUUGACUGUACAAAGGUAGCGUAAUCAUUAGUUUUUUAAUUGAAAACUUGUAUGAAUGGUUUGAUGAGAAAAUUACUGUCUCUGUUAAAUUUUAAUAGAAUUUUAUUUUUAAGUGAAAAAGCUUAAAUGUUGUUAAAAGACGAGAAGACCCUAUAGAGUUUAAUAAUAUUAAAAUUUUACGUUUUAGGAAUAAUUGAUAGUUUAAUGUUUAUUAUUAUUUAGUUGGGGUGAUUUUAAAAUUUAAUAAACUUUUGAUUUUUUAUAACAUAAUUUAAUGAGUAUAUGAUCCAGAAUUUUUUGAUUAUAAGAAUAAAUUACCUUAGGGAUAACAGCGUAAUCUUUUUGGCGAGUUCUUAUCAAUAAAAAGGAUUGCGACCUCGAUGUUGGAUUAAAAUAAACUUUUGGCGCAGUAGCUAAGUAGUUGGGUCUGUUC
rnacentral:rRNA from 1 species